rnacentral:misc_RNA from 1 species
GGCUGGAUCACCUCCUUUCUAAGGAGCUAGAAGACUAGAUCUUCCAAGCUUACCUAGGUCAAACACAAUCACGUACAACACUGCUAUUCGGUUUUGAGAGACCAGAGUCUUCUCUGGUUUUUUGCUCUUUACAGAUUAAGUGGAUCGUGGAAGCGAUAACACGAUGAUGGGCUUGUAGCUCAGUUGGCUAGAGCACACGACUGAUAAUCGUGAGGUCGCUGGUUCGAGUCCAGCCAGGCCCACCAACCUUUUUUGGGGGUGUAGCUCAGCUGGGAGAGCACCUGCCUUGCACGCAGGGGGUCAUCGGUUCGAUCCCGUUCACCUCCACCAAAAAUUCAGUUCAAGGUUCAUAGUUCAUGGUUCGCAGUUAACCUUGAACCACAAACACAGAACCUCGAACCGUAUUCAGUUCUUUGACAAUUGCAUAGUGGAUAGUUUAGGUAGUAAAAGCGUAUAAGUGUGCGUUUUUACUUUGAUUGUAUGUUUUGUAGAUUGAUUUCGAUUUUUAUGGUCAAGCUACUAAGGGCGUACGGUGGAUGCCUAGGCAGAGAGAGGCGAUGAAGGACGUGGUAAACUGCGAUAAGCUUCGGUGAGCCGUUAAACAGGCUUUGACCCGGAGAUUUCCGAAUGGGGAAACCCGGCAGGGGUAAUGCCCUGUCACUGUGUACUGAAUACAUAGGUACAUAGGGCGAACGAGGGGAACUGAAACAUCUAAGUACCCUCAGGAGAAGAAAACAAUAGUGAUUCCGUAAGUAGCGGCGAGCGAACGCGGAGUAGCCCAAACCAGAACUACUUCGGUAUUUCUGGGGUUGCGGGGCCUCAACAUGGGAUUGAUGAAGGGUAGCUGAGCGGUCUGGAAAGGCCGGCCAUAGUGGGUGAUAGCCCCGUAAGCGAAACUCUGAUUCACCUUAGAGGAACCCCAAGUACCGCGGAACACGAGAAAUUCCGUGGGAAUCCGGGAGGACCAUCUCCCAAGGCUAAAUACUCCUCUCUGACCGAUAGUGAACCAGUACCGUGAGGGAAAGGUGAAAAGUACUCCGAUAAGGAGGGUGAAAUAGAACCUGAAACCGUAUGCCUACAAGCAGUGGGAGCACCAUGUAUAUCAGGUGUGACCGCGUGCCUUUUGCAUAAUGAGUCAGCGAGUUACUCUUGCUAGCGAGGUUAAGUUCAUAGAACGGAGCCGUAGCGAAAGCGAGUCUUAACUGGGCGUCCAGUUAGCAGGAGUAGACCCGAAACCGGGUGAUCUAUCCAUGGCCAGGGUGAAAGGAAGGUAACACUUCGUGGAGGCCCGAACCCACUGGCGUUGAAAGCCAGGGGAUGAGCUGUGGAUAGGAGUGAAAGGCUAAUCAAACUCGGAGAUAGCUGGUUUUCCUCGAAAUAUAUUUAGGUAUAGCCUCGCGUAUGCGUAACGGGGGUAGAGCACUGGAUGGGCUAGGGGUCUAACCAGAUUACCAAACCCAAUCAAACUCCGAAUACCGUUAACGAAGAGCGCGGGAGUCAGACGGCGGGUGAUAAGAUCCGUCGUCAAAAGGGAAAGAGCCCAGACCGCCAGCUAAGGUCCCAAAUCUACGCUAAGUGGAAAACGAUGUGGAAAUGCCCAGACAACCAGGAGGUUGGCUUAGAAGCAGCCAUCCUUUAAAGAAAGCGUAAUAGCUCACUGGUCGAGUGGGUCUGCGCGGAAAAUGUAACGGGGCUAAGCGUAGUACCGAAGCUGCGGAUCGACAUCUUAAGAUGCCGGUGGUAGAGGAACAUUGUGUAAGCCUGUGAAGGUCGACCGUGAGGACGGCUGGAGGUAUCACAAGAGAUUAUGCUGACAUGAGUAGCGAAAAUGCGGGUGAGAAACCUGCACACCGUAAACCCAAGGUUUCCUCCGUAAAGGUAAUCUGCGGAGGGUUAGUCGAUCCCUAAGGCGAGGCCGAAAGGCGUAGUUGAUGGGAAACAGGUUAAUAUUCCUGUACCACCUGUUGUUGCGAUGGGGGGACGGAGAAGGGUAGGCGAGCCGGUUACUGGAUUUUCCGGUUUAAGCGUGUAGGGGGGGAGAGUAGGCAAAUCCGCUUUCCCGUUAACCCUGAGACGUGAUGACGAGAGCGUAUGCUCAUAAAGUCGUUGAUCCCAUGCUUCCAAGAAAAGCCUCUAAGCUUCAGACAGCAGGUGAUCGUACCGUAAACCGACUCAGGUGGGUGAGGAGAGAAUCCUAAGGUGAUUGAGAGAACACUGGUUAAGGAACUCGGCAAAAUGACACCGUAACUUCGGGAUAAGGUGUGCCCUCAUUAGGUCUAGCGAUUUGCACGUGAAGCCGAAGAGGGUCGCAGAGAAAUGGCGGUAGCGACUGUUUACUAAAAACAUAGGUCUCUGCUAAGUCGUAAGACGAUGUAUAGGGACUGACGCCUGCCCGGUGCUGGAAGGUUAAGGGGAUUUGUUAGCGCAAGCGAAGCUUUGAACCGAAGCCCCAGUAAACGGCGGCCGUAACUAUAACGGUCCUAAGGUAGCGAAAUUCCUUGUCGGGUAAGUUCCGACCUGCACGAAUGGCGUAACGAUUUCCGCGCUGUCUCAACCAGUGACUCAGCGAAAUUGAAUUCUCGGUGAAGAUGCCGAGUACCCGCGGUAAGACGGAAAGACCCCGUGAACCUUUACUAUAGCUUGACAGUGACAUUCGGAAUAGCUUGUGUAGGAUAGGUGGGAGACUUUGAAGCUGGCACGCCAGUGUCGGUGGAGUCGCCCUUGAAAUACCACCCUGGUUGUUUUGGAUGUCUAACCUUGGCCCGUCAUCCGGGUCGGGGACACUGUCUGGUGGGUAGUUUGACUGGGGCGGUCGCCUCCCAAAGAGUAACGGAGGCGCG